AUUCAAAAAAAAAAAAACCCACCCAUCUUCUACCUCCCCGAACCCUCCAUCCUCUCCUCUGCAAUCCGUACCCUUCUUUCUCUUCCCUACAACCCGCACUACCUUCCCUCAUCUCCUCUGAUCCAUAGCCUGCCUCAGCUCCCUCAGCCACCACCGUAACCACCGCAGCGGCAUCAACAACAAAACCACCAUUAGCAGGAUAAACUGCCCUGUUACAGCCAAAGCACCACCAACAACAAGAUGAAGGGGUUGUUCAAGUCCAAGCCCAUAACCCCCGCCGACAUAGUUUGGUACACCCGAGAUCUCCUUGUCUAUGCUUUGCACACUCCCGAUUCUCGUGAAAGCAAACGCGAGGAAAAAGAGUUAGAUUCGAGGCACAUGAUCCUAGUGUCAAGACAUUCCCACUUAGGCAUCUUCGAGCCUCUUCUGUGUGAAUCUCAUUCCUUGAUGGGCUGAAAGGACGAAGAGAAGAAGUGGGUGCGAAGUUGAGUUGUUGGCAUGCUACAGAGUACAGAUGAAUGAUUUCAGUUCAGCAGAAAACUCAAGUAUUCGUACAAAGUAUUCGAAAAUGAUCCAUCUUCAACCUAUGUUGUUUGACGAAACCAAUACUUGCGAAGUUUUCGUACUUUGAUGCUCGAAGUUUUUUCGUUUGAAGUGGAAAUGACAAUGCUUACUAGCAGGAAGCC